rnacentral:misc_RNA from 1 species
UCCGGUUUGUCACCGGUUUCACCCUGCAUGUCAAGCCCUGGUAAGGUUCUUCGCGUUGCGUCGAAUUAAGCCACAUGCUCCGCCGCCUGUGCGGGUCCCCGUCAAUUCCUUUGAGUUUUAGCCUUGCGGCCGUACUCCCCAGGCGGGGUGCUUAAUGCGUUUGCGACGGCACGGAGGGGGUUGAUGCCCCCCACACCUAGCAUCCAACGUUUACGGCUGGGACUAC